UAUACCUUCAUAAAGCAUGUUCCAUUCUGUGACUGGCACUGAAAUUAAUUUAAAAGUGGGAAGCUGACUGACCUUACAUGGUGACUAGAAUGCUGUCAGAUUUUGAUGCGCAGCAGAAAGAUGACCAGGGAGGAGAGGUAUAGGAUCGGAUAGUCUGGCAAAUGAACUGGCCUCACCUGCCACAAUGAGCACGCAAUUGUAGAAACUGGAAUUUACAUAAAUCUUGUUCUUUAUGUAUCCGAAUAGCAUAUUAGUGCUUAGUAGUUUAUCAAUUUAGGCAAUCGAUUUCACUAACUCUUCCACAAUCACCUCC
rnacentral:lncRNA from 1 species